CCAUCAAUUACCUCACAAUACGAACAUGGCUAUGGGAGGCCAUAUCUUUACGCACCGCAAAAGAAAUCUCCUCAAUUUCAUAUGGCCACCACCCUUCCACACGGUGUUGAUUUGCCAUAAUAUCAGCAGCCGCAUUCCCUUCACGAAAAAUGUGCGUCACCUUAAGCCUGAAAGAUGACAAACACUUGAGGAUAGAUUUCCAUGCCGCUGCAAACCUCCAAGGGACAUCAGACGAGCGUUUCUGCAGUAGGUUAACCACAUAAAUGGAGUCAGCCUCGAUCCACAGAUCAAGCCAGCCACGAGCAUGGGCGAUUUGAAUCGCACUAAUGAUUGCCAGGAGUUCAGCUUCAAAAGCAAACCCAAGUCCACCCUUAUAGUGAAAGCACCCACGAACCACAUUCCAAUUGUCACGGAAGACACCCCCCGCAGCAAUGAGACCCGGCGCUCCCGCCGCCGAUCCGUCAGUAUU
rnacentral:lncRNA from 1 species